GACCGCUGCGGCAACGCAGCCGAGGCCAGACGGACAGCCGGGUCGAAUGCCGA
rnacentral:sRNA from 1 species